AGCCCCUUAGAGGCCAACUAAGUUUCUCCUGGGUAUAAGCUUUCGUGUAUCUGAAGAAAUGUGAAUGCACACAAAAGCUUAUACCCAGAAGAAACUUAGUUGGUCUCUAAGGUGCU